AAGUAUAGAAAAAUAUUGAGUCCGAAUUAUCAGUCUGUUUCGGCAAGACUUUAACAAUAUAAAUUUUGCUGUAAAUCUUAAUAUUACUUGGCAGAGGCUGCCCUCGUCACUUUAUUAGUGGUGAGAGAAGUGAGUAGGGAGUAGUGAAGUAGUUGUUACAUCGUUGCGUUAGCACUUGGCAGCCUCACGUUACAACGGUGUGAGUGGAGCACGUUAUCCACCCCAGAGAGCGCGAGAGGAGAGAGAAUGACAAUAUCUGUUUUCUCGGUUCCGACGCCUCAGUUGUGCAGCUACAAAAACUCGUGGCCAGCUCCGACCUACCCUUCUCUUUAUUCUUCUUCUUCGAAGUUAACUGUUACACUGUGCUCUCCUUCUACUCCAGCUUCUGUUAUCGAUGAGGGUACUUCUCCUGCGCCAGACGAUAUUCCUCUUGUUGAUCGGUCAGAAUUCGUGAGCGGUUGUAAGGCAUGUGGAAGAGAAGAAAUAGAGAAAGGAUGCAAUGGUGAAGGAAGGAUUCAGGGUGGAAUUGCAACAGUGCCAGGGUUUGGGUGGUGGCCUAUAAAGGCUUACAGGCCAUGCCCUGCAUUUGUGGCAUCGGGUGGUAGGUAUAGGCGACAAGGACAAAGCAUGGACGAGGUUGUCUCUGGAAGUGGUAAAACAUCCACAAUAGGAACUGCCAGUGACUCGAAGAAAAGCAUUCAUCUCUAAAGUAAGGACAACAUUCACUCUGUUGGAUUUCGCUUCCCCGGGAUUCUAAUAUCACUUUUUGAUUGCUCGUUGAUGAAUACCCCUUUGGUCUGUAACAAAAAGGAAAGUGUGAAGAAAUCUAAUAGGUAAAGUGGUUGGGAGGACUAUUCAACUUUGAGGUGACAAAAGCAAAAGCUACAAGGGAGAGGGGGGUAAAGAAAAUGUUGGUGAUGCUCUGGUCUGCUACAAAUAAUGGUAAAUUCAAUAUUGUGUAAGGAUUGUGGAAAUCUAUGUACGUCUUAUAAAUGCAUUGGUAAAUAGGGUGAUGUCAUGUGAUGUAUGCAUUGGUAAAUUAUUUCUCUGAAUCACGUUAGCUUUUUCCGUUCA